GCGGGCGCCCGUAGUCUUCAUUUGUACCACCCUAAUGAGCAUAUGGGGAACCACUGAAGAGUUUUAAGCAAGGUAGUUAACAUGAUUAGCAGUGAGAGACGGAAGAGGAGAGUGCUCUAUCAGCCAUUUGCUGACUCAAAAAGAUUUAAUGACUGUUGACAUAUAGGUGGGGCAGAAAGGUUUUAGAAGAUGGCAGAUGACCUACAGACAUAAGCUCAGCAUCAGACCACAGUGGGCUCGCUGAUGUAGGAGAAGUGAAGAGGAAACCAUAGACAUUAAGCUUCUCUUCAAGAAUCUUAGGUGGAAACAAGACAGAAAUAAGGCAGCAGCAAAAGGAUGUUAAGAGACUAUGUUCCAUAUAUGCAGAAUACCUCACCAAGACACACCUGAACUCCAAGAGCUUACUAUAUACACACUUGGACAUAGGUACAUAUAAGAGAGAGAAGAAUCACAUUUUAAACUGACUCCAUAAUACAUUUUGCAAUAGAGGCCUGAAUUAUUAAAAUUACAUUCUAAUGUUAUUAAUUGUGAUUAUUAAUGGUUCUUUUACUAUGCUCUGGUUUAAGUCAAGUUGAAAAUUAGAAGGCAAUCAUGAAGCCACAAAAUUUCAAUCAUCCUCAGAAGAAGGAGGAAAUGAAUGGGGAUACCCUGGUAUUAAACAUAUGCACAGGACCAAAUUAUGUGUUAAAGGGAGAUAGAUACAUGAAAUAUUUUAGAACUGUGUUUAUCAGCCCCUUCAAGAGACUAUGGAGAGAGAUUUAAGAAAAAAAAAAAGCAUUGGGGAUAAGAAGAGAGACAUGAUGCAGCAGAAGCAAGUAAGUAUUCUAAGUACAAGUACUUAUUAGAAAGAAUAAUGUGAUAUUAACAAGUCUAGCUGACAUAGUCUGCAUCAGUUUUAUCAUUCCAGCAAAUAAUCUCAGGACAACAUUAUUUUGACAGCAUAUGAC
rnacentral:lncRNA from 10 species